rnacentral:rRNA from 1 species
GAUGAACGCUGGCGGCGUGCCUAAUACAUGCAAGUCGAGCGAACAGACGAGGAGCUUGCUCCUCUGACGUUAGCGGCGGACGGGUGAGUAACACGUGGAUAACCUACCUAUAAGACUGGGAUAACUUCGGGAAACCGGAGCUAAUACCGGAUAAUAUAUUGAACCGCAUGGUUCAAUAGUGAAAGACGGUUUUGCUGUCACUUAUAGAUGGAUCCGCGCCGCAUUAGCUAGUUGGUAAGGUAACGGCUUACCAAGGCAACGAUGCGUAGCCGACCUGAGAGGGUGAUCGGCCACACUGGAACUGAGACACGGUCCAGACUCCUACGGGAGGCAGCAGUAGGGAAUCUUCCGCAAAGGGCGAAAGCCUGACGGAGCAACGCCGCGUGAAUGAUGAAGGUCUUCGGAUCGGAAAACUCUGUUAUUAGGGAAGAACAAAUGUGUAAGUAACUAUGCACGUCUUGACGGUACCUAAUCAGAAAGCCACGGCUAACUACGUG